GUGGCGGGCCCUAUCACUGGCGAGCGUUUGGGUCCCUCUCGGGGGAACUGAGCUAGUAGCCUCUCUUUUAAACCCAUUCUGUAAUACUGAACAUACUGUGGGGACGAAAGUCUCUGCUUUUAACUAGAUAGCAACUUUCAGCAGUGGAUGUCUAGGCUCGCACAUCGAUGAAGAACGCUGCGAACUGCGAUACGUAAUGCGAAUUGCAGGAUUCAGUGAGUCAUCGAAAUUUUGAACGCAUAUUGCACUUCCGGGUUAGUCCUGGGAGUAUGCCUGUAUCAGUGUCCGUACAUCAAACUUGGCUCUCUUCCUUCCGUGUAGUCGGUGGAUGGAGGUGCCAGACGUGAGGUGUCUUGCGGGCGGUCUUCGGACUGGCUGUGAGUCCCUUGAAAUGUACUGAACUGUACUUCUCUUUGCUCGAAAAGCGUGACGUUGCUGGUUGUGGAGGCUGCCUGUAUGGCCAGUCGGCGACCGGUUUGUCUGCUGCGGCGUUUAAUGGAGGAGUGUUCGAUUCGCGGUAUGGUUGGCUUCGGCUGAACAAAGCGCUUAUUGGAUGUUCUUCCUGCUGUGGCGGUACGGAUCGGUGAACCGUAGCUGUGCUAGGCUUGGCGUUUGAACCGGCGGUGU
rnacentral:misc_RNA from 1 species